CACGAAACGAGGAGAGCUCGGUAAUUAACAAAGCUGGCAAGCUGGGUGCACGGCCUCUGCUCACGCAGGUUCCUGCACAAAAGUUGCUCGUUAGAGGAGCUCGUUACUGGCCGUGAUUAAUAGCACUUGCGGGAUGAGACGCCAAGGGAAGGGGUGCGGAGGGGUGAGGGAGGUGCAACGCACCCAAAACCUGCUGGAGCGGGCUCAAAGGAUGGCACGCGGCUGCUUUUGGGUCGGUUUUUAGGUUCACCCUGGGAUUUCCAAGCCCCCAGAACCACCCCCGGUGCCAGCAGUUCCCCAAGGGCUGUGGGUCCCUCCUGCCCCCAGCACCGUGAGCACCCAAGGGACUGCCGAAAUGCGCCUUCAGCCUGAGACCUCAGCCAGCUCAACACGACACCCACGACAGAGGCACCGAGUCUACGGCGCUUUCCCCAGGGAUUUCAGCAGCAGUGGGAACGUUGGAAGGCUUGGAGAAGAGCUGCAGCACUCACAGGUGCUCUCUCCUGCUCCCGAAGUUUUGCAAUUACAGCAAAAAACCCCAAAACCACCACUCCUCACCACUCACGCUGCCACGGGAGCUGGCGGGGAGCUGGCGGGGACCGUGCGCCGUGCCAGCAUUUGGUGCAGCCCCAAGGAGCUGCCCACGGCUGCAGCAGGUGGAGAAGCCCCGAGCUGAGCACCAAGUUUGCACCGCAGCCAAAGGAAGAGCCGGGGCUGCUCUCGCUCGGAUGGGCGCGAUGUGAGGACUGGAGACGAGGCAGAGAUUCAGCAGCAGCUGAAAGUGGGGGAUUUUGGUGCUGGGAACGUCGCCCACCGCCCAGCAU